UUCUCAAGUGCAUGUCACCAUUUAGAAGAUAAGUCUCCAUCAGGUACUGUCCAGUGCAGAGACAGCACCACGGCUGAGGAUGGCCGGACCAUUACAAAAGGAACCCACAGAGAAGUAGAGGCACCAGCCAAAAGCAAUGUUAACCACAAUCACUGUGAUUGCUAUUUUUGGUUGUCAACUUGACUACAUCUGGAAUCAACUAAAACCCAAUGGCUUGGCACAACUGUGAGGGACUUUUUUUUCUUAAGUAAAUCCUUUGAGCUCUGGAUCUUUGAGGUGGGAAGAUACACCUUUAAUGGAGGUCACACUUUCUGCUGGCAGCCUACAAAAAGGAGAUGAAGAAGGAAAUUUUGCUGUUGUUGUUAGCAAAUCCAUUCCUUCACUGGCACUGAAGCCGGCUUCUUCAGGAUUCUGGUAUGUAAUGCUGAAGACCAGCUGAGACAUUCAACCUUUGUGAACUGAACUGAAU
rnacentral:lncRNA from 1 species